rnacentral:rRNA from 1 species
GAUGAACGCUGGCGGCGUGCCUAAUACAUGCAAGUCGAGCGAACGGACGAGAAGCUUGCUUCUCUGAUGUUAGCGGCGGACGGGUGAGUAACACGUGGAUAACCUACCUAUAAGACUGGGAUAACUUCGGGAAACCGGAGCUAAUACCGGAUAAUAUUUUGAACCGCAUGGUUCAAAAGUGAAAGACGGUCUUGCUGUCACUUAUAGAUGGAUCCGCGCUGCAUUAGCUAGUUAGUAAGGUAACGGCUUACCAAGGCAACGAUGCAUAGCCGACCUGAGAGGGUGAUCGGCCACACUGGAACUGAGACACGGUCCAGACUCCUACGGGAGGCAGCAGUAGGGAAUCUUCCGCAAUGGGCGAAAGCCUGACGGAGCAACGCCGCGUGAGUGAUGAAGGUCUUCGGAUCGUAAAACUCUGUUAUUAGGGAAGAACAUAUGUGUAAGUAACUGUGCACAUCUUGACGGUACCUAAUCAGAAAGCCACGGCUAACUACGUGCCAGCAGCCGCGGUAAUACGUAGGUGGCAAGCGUUAUCCGGAAUUAUUGGGCGUAAAGCGCGCGUAGGCGGUUUUUUAAGUCUGAUGUGAAAGCCCACGGCUCAACCGUGGAGGGUCAUUGGAAACUGGAAAACUUGAGUGCAGAAGAGGAAAGUGGAAUUCCAUGUGUAGCGGUGAAAUGCGCAGAGAUAUGGAGGAACACCAGUGGCGAAGGCGACUUUCUGGUCUGUAACUGACGCUGAUGUGCGAAAGCGUGGGGAUCAAACAGGAUUAGACACCCUGGUAGUCCACGCCGUAAACGAUGAGUGCUAAGUGUUAGGGGGUUUCCGCCCCUUAGUGCUGCAGCUAACGCAUUAAGCACUCCGCCUGGGGAGUACGACCGCAAGGUUGAAACUCAAAGGAAUUGACGGGGACCCGCACAAGCGGUGGAGCAUGUGGUUUAAUUCGAAGCAACGCGAAGAACCUUACCAAAUCUUGACAUCCUUUGACAACUCUAGAGAUAGAGCCUUCCCCUUCGGAGGACAAAGUGACAGGUGGUGCAUGGUUGUCGUCAGCUCGUGUCGUGAGAUGUUGGGUUAAGUCCCGCAACGAGCGCAACCCUUAAGCUUAGUUGCCAUCAUUAAGUUGGGCACUCUAAGUUGACUGCCGGUGACAAACCGGAGGAAGGUGGGGAUGACGUCAAAUCAUCAUGCCCCUUAUGAUUUGGGCUACACACGUGCUACAAUGGACAAUACAAAGGGCAGCGAAACCGCGAGGUCAAGCAAAUCCCAUAAAGUUGUUCUCAGUUCGGAUUGUAGUCUGCAACUCGACUACAUGAAGCUGGAAUCGCUAGUAAUCGUAGAUCAGCAUGCUACGGUGAAUACGUUCCCGGGUCU